rnacentral:lncRNA from 1 species
GUGUGUCUCUGGUCGAUCGAACAAAGGCAGGAGCAAAGGGGCAACCCUAGUUUCAUCACAUACAUCAAAUUCAGUAGAAAUUCCAAGGAAAACUAAUGCAUGAACUCAUAUUUUCGAACAUCUAACCCUGAAAUGGGCGUGAAGGAAGAACAAGUGCUAGGAAAAUGGAAAACGCACAAGAUCGAGGUAAAUCCUCAACUUAAUCGCUUCGGCGACUUGGAACGAGCACCCAUAUGAAUCUCGCCUAUAUGCACUUCCGCUACUUUUGUAACAAUGUUUAUGGUCAAAAAGUAUUUUUGUUGUAACUAGUUUGUUUAGUAGCUAGACUUUUGAAGUUUGACUUGUUAGAUCUUUUAAAAAAAUUUCUAGAUGUUGGUAGAUAUUUAAAAGUAAUGCUAUGGUUUUGUUAAGUCU